rnacentral:rRNA from 1 species
UACGGAGGGGGCGAGCGUUAUUCGGAAUUAUUGGGCGUAAAGGGCGCGUAGGCGGCUUGACAAGUCAAAGGUGAAAUCCCUCGGCUCAACUGAGGAACUGCCUUUGAAACUGUCUGGCUUGAGGCCGGGAGGGGGUAGCGGAAUUCCCAGUGUAGCGGUGAAGUGCGUAGAUAUUGGGAGGAACACCAGUGGCGAAGGCGGCUACCUGGACCGGUUCUGACGCUGAUGCGCGAAAGCGUGGGUAGCAAACAGG